UGCCUUUUGAACCCCAUAAAAAGGUAAGCCCUGCCCAGUGAGAUUUUCAACGGCCGCGGUAUCCUGACCGUGCAAAGGUAGCAUAAUCAUUUGCCCCUUAAUUAGGGGCUAGAAUGAAUGGGUAAACUAAACUUCCCUGUCUCCUUAGAAAAAAUAAAAAUUUACUUAUUAGUGAAGAGGCUAAUAUGACCUUAAAAGACAAGAAGACCCUAUAGAGCUUAUCUUUAUCUUUAUUAUAAAAGAAACAAGGUUUUGCUGGGGCGACACAGGAAAAUGAAAAUCUUCCUUUAAACAGAGGCUAAUAAGCCUUAUUCUACACCCUUAGAAAAGGAUAGAAAAAAGCUACCUUAGGGAUAACAGGCUAAUUCCCCUUAAGAGCUCUAAUCGACAGGGGAGCUUGGCACCUCGAUGUUGGCUUAAGGUCCCUCUAUUGCGCAGAAGUAAUAAUAGGUGGUUUGUUCAACCAAUAAAUCCUU
rnacentral:rRNA from 1 species